rnacentral:tRNA from 1 species
GUUUUCGUGGUGUAGUGGUCAGCACACUCAGCGCGUAUUCGAGAGGUCCGUGGUUCGAAUCCCGGAGAAGGCA